rnacentral:rRNA from 1 species
GACGAACGCUGGCGGCGUGCCUAAUACAUGCAAGUCGAACGAGAGCGACCGGUGCUUGCACUGGUCAAUCUAGUGGCGAACGGGUGAGUAACACGUGGGUAACCUGCCCAUCAGAGGGGGAUAACAUCCGGAAACGGAUGCUAAAACCGCAUAGGUCUUCGAACCGCAUGGUUUGAAGAGGAAAAGAGGCGCAAGCUUCUGCUGAUGGAUGGACCCGCGGUGCAUUAGCUAGUUGGUGAGGUAACGGCUCACCAAGGCCGUGAUGCAUAGCCGACCUGAGAGGGUGAUCGGCCACAUUGGGACUGAGACGCGGCCCAAACUCCUACGGGAGGCAGCAGUAGGGAAUCUUCCGCAAUGGACGCAAGUCUGACGGAGCAACGCCGCGUGAGUGAAGAAGGUUUUCGGAUCGUAAAACUCUGUUGUUAGAGAAGAACAAGUGCUAGAGUAACUGUUAGCGCCUUGACGGUAUCUAACCAGAAAGCCACGGCUAACUACGU